rfam:Mycobacterium longobardum strain DSM 45394 contig_2, whole genome shotgun sequence.
UUGGCGUCCGGGUCGAUCUCGCGGGUGACGAUCAGGUACUCACGCAGGGCGAUGGCGUGCAGGUGCUC